rnacentral:rRNA from 1 species
CGCGAAGAACCUUACCAAGGCUUGACAUAUACAGGAAUAUGGCAGAGAUGUCAUAGCCGCAAGGUCUGUAUACAGGUGGUGCAUGGUUGUCGUCAGCUCGUGUCGUGAGAUGUUGGGUUAAGUCCCGCAACGAGCGCAACCCUCGUUCUGUGUUGCCAGCAUUUAGUUGGGGACUCACAGGAGACUGCCGGGGUUAACUCGGAGGAAGGUGGGGAUGACGUCAAAUCAUCAUGCCCCUUAUGUCUUGGGCUGACGCAUGCUACAAUGGCUGGUACAAACGGCUGCGAUACCGCAAGGUGGAGCGAAUCCGAUAAAGCCAGUCUCAGUUCGGAUUGGGGUCUGCAACUCGACCCCAUGAAGUCGGAGUUGCUAGUAAUCGUAGAUCAGCAACGCUACGGUGAAUACGUUCCCGGGGCUUGUACACACCGCCCGUCACAUCACGAAAGUC